AAUCUUGCUUUUGAUAGUCGUGAGAAAAGCCAUAAAUAUCGUUCAUGAAAACGUAUUGAAAAACUAUACAUUAAAAAAGGUCUCCAAAUCAGCACAGUGGCAACAAUUUUAAGCUGUUCCUUCCACAAAAAGCAGAAGAAAUGGAAGAUUAAAAAAAAACGUUUUUUUAGAGGCCCUGAACCUCCCACAGGAGAAUCUCAUUAUGGGCCACAGAGAAGAGGAGCUUCCCUGAGGGGGAGAAGCGGGACGUCUGCAGAGCGUCGCUGUGCUGUAAAAAGUCCUGGAACUUGCCGCUGGUCCACUCGAUCAGCUUCAACACUCGCUCUGAGAGAACAUUGAGAGGGAGGAAGGGCUACGUACCUCCCUCGACGUGAAGUGAGAUUGCAGACCUUCCUACACUAUCGAAUGCGAGAAGAAAGAUGGCAGACCAGAAACCCAGAGAAGUGAACAAAUGCAAGCUGGGCGGGCGCAGAGGGGCAGAAGGCUGCGUCGUGAAUCGGCACUGAGACAGUCACGCCAGAGAGCAUUUGGAGUGUCUUGCUGCUCCACAGAGCCACCAUUGGGUCGGUGAAGUCCCCUAGCAGGGUGUGAUCAAGAGCAGACAAUAUUAACUCCAGGAUUUUUAGUUGGUUUCCUGCCAUAAGAAUUCCC